GAUGAACGCUGGCGGCGUGCUUAACACGUGCAAGUCGAACGAGAACGGAUUAUAGCUUGCUAUAAUUGUCAGCUAAGUGGCGCACGGGUGAGUAAUGUAUAGGUAAUAUGCCUCUUACUAAGGGAUAACAAAUGGAAACGUUUGCUAAUACCUUAUACUCCUUAUUAACAGAAGUUAAUAAGGGAAAGAUUUAUUGGUAAGAGAUUAGCCUGUAUUGUAUCAGUUAGUUGGUGGGGUAAUGGCUUACCAAGACUAUGACACAUAACUGGUUUGAGAGGAUGAUCAGACACACUGGAACUGAGACACGGUCCAGACUCCCACGGGAGGCAGCAGUGGAGAAUAUUGCACAAUGGACGAAAGUCUGAUGCAGCAACGCCGCGUGGAGGAUGACACAUUUCGGUGCGUAAACUCCUUUUAUAUGAGAAGAUAAUGACGGUAUUAUAUGAAUAAGCACCGGCUAACUCCGUGCCAGCCGCCGCGGUAACAC
rnacentral:rRNA from 1 species